GACCUGGGAGUUAAGACUGCCACCCAGCCACCUUGUGCUCUCCAUGCUGCUGAUUCAACAGGCAAAUAAGGAAGUUAUGGUGUGGGCUACAGUGAUUGAUCUGACUAACAAGAGGGAAAUUGCUCCACCAUGGGGGUGAGGGAGAGUACAUCUGGAAUACAGAAGUUCCCUUAGGACACCCUUAGUGUUCCCACACAUUGCGAUUAAGGCCAGUGGAAAACUACAAUAACUCAGUUCAGGCGGAACAACUCAUGGGGCAGAAUCUUCAAGGAAUGAAGAUUUGAGUCCUUCUACCAGACAUGAGCUCCUUCAGGGAAGAAAGGUUUUGCAGAGUGCCUCCAGAAAUAAAAGUGUUACAAAAGAAUCACUUCAGAAAACCUACACUUAGAGAGUCCAUUUGAAAAUUGCCCUAUUUGAAAUGAAGUGGAGAUCAGUAAUAACAAGGACUUCCCCAUAUAACCCAAGGUCCUACUGGGUUAGUGUGAUCUUCUGCGGAAGGCUGCAGCUGCUGUCAGGAGGCCCUCUGUCUACACUCCUCUCUGGAGAAGUGUAAGUGUUUUGUCAGUUUGUCUCCAUGAGGUCAUACAGCUGCUUGAGGUUGCUCGGAGAGUAAGAAGCAGAAUGAGAACUAGAACAGAAGCUCACUUUGGCCUGAAGGCUCAUGUGCUGAGCAUCUUCCCUUGUCUGUCUCCACCCCUAGCCUGGUGCCCAGCAUGUAGAAGACCUUCAUCCUAGAUGCAAUGGGAUUAAACUUGGAGAAAAUGGGAUUAAACUUGGACAAACACUACCUAUUUGGACUUGUGAUGAUGGCUUUCAAACUUCUUAAAGCAAUGAAGUAUUUUUUCCAGAAGAAACCUUACACAAGAAGCCCAGCACACUGAGUCAAGCAUAUGUAGGUGGAAGAUAUCUGGUUGAGACCAAGUAGAGAUAAACCUGUAGAUUCAACUGUGCCACCACAGUGAAUUCUAAGAAUCCACUGACUGUGAUCUGUAAGCUCCUACUCCACAGGAGGUCAGGGCACACAGCUUGAAACCGGAAGGCAGAAGAGUGACAGGGAAGGGUCAUGGACUCUGAAAUUAGAGCUAUCUGUGUUUUAAUACUAGUUCCAAUAGGCACAUGGUCUUGGAUAAAUGGUUUAAAUUAUCUGAGUCUCAAUUUCUUUCUCUGCAAAAAGGGAUGAUUAGUACAUAUGUAAUAGGGUUUUUAUAGAAAAUUGUAUAACUUGUUAAACACACAUGUACUAAGUGCUUGGUGCCCAGUAUGCACUGAAUAAAUGCUAGCUCCUUGCCUUUCAUCUCUAUGACCCUUCCCAAAUCUCUCAGCCCCAUAUUGCUUCAUGUAGUGUGUGUAUAUUUGGGAAAAUUUGUGUGCAUAUUUACAGAUGGGAUCCUACUCUUCUAUUGACAGACUGUCUUUUCAGAUGUGCCUUACUUUCAUUGCAUUGGUUUUUCAACUGAAAGUGAACAUAAAGGUUUUAAGCA
ensembl:lncRNA LINC02725 long intergenic non-protein coding RNA 2725